rnacentral:rRNA from 1 species
AAUGGGCGAAAGCCUGACGCAGCCAUGCCGCGUGUGUGAAGAAGGCCUUCGGGUUGUAAAGCACUUUCAAUUGGGAGGAAGGGUUCGUAGCUAAUACCUGCGAGCUGUGACGUUACCUUUAGAAGAAGCACCGGCUAACUCCGUGCCAGCAGCCGCGGUAAUACGGAGGGUGCGAGCGUUAAUCGGAAUUACUGGGCGUAAAGCGCGCGUAGGCGGUUUGUUAAGUCGGAUGUGAAAGCCCCGGGCUCAACCUGGGAAUUGCACCCGAUACUGGCCGACUGGAGUGCGAGAGAGGGAGGUAGAAUUCCACGUGUAGCGGUGAAAUGCGUAGAUAUGUGGAGGAAUACCGGUGGCGAAGGCGGCCUCCUGGCUCGACACUGACGCUGAGGUGCGAAAGCGUGGGGAGCAAACAGGAUU